GUACAGUACACUGUGACAUGUCAGGUCAUGAAUAUCCAGGAUUUAUACUUACUAUUUAUGUUUGCCUUUUGCCAGAAAAAUACAUCUACAAAAUCAAACAUUUUAGCCAGCCUCUGAGUCGAGUUUACAGCUGCUGAUCACAGGUCUCCUGAUAGGCAUCGUCAGCACUGUAGGGAUGUGCGUUGUGGCUAACUUCCAGAAAACUGACAUGAUAUCCAUCCACCUUUUGGGAUCGGGGCUGAUCUUUGCUCCUGGGACGUUGUAUAUCCUGGUCCAGACUGGCAUGUUGUAUCAUAUGCAGCCACGUUUCCCGUCAGGGAUAUAUAUAUAUAUAUUUUUAUAUAUAUACUGUAGUUUCACUGCAUUUGUGAAUGUGAAUGUAUGAAAAAAAGUCAGUGUAAUAUAAUGAAAUAUUUCAUGGAAAUACACUGGUUUAAUAUAGCAAAAUUUGAUUCGAAGGAAAAAUACAUACAGUAGGUUAAUUAAUGUAGGCAAGUUUGGUUUAAUAUAUUUGUGAAAUGUGGAGAUGAAGUGUUUUUUUUUUAUAUUUUUUAUUUUUUAUUCACUAUUUUGUUUUCAUUGAAAAAAAUAUGUUUUUCAAUUCUGCACGUAUUCACUGGCUCAGUUUCUGUCACAUUGAACCUUCAGGUCAAGCUCAAACAAGCUUUUCAUGCAUUAAAUACAGCAGCUUAUCACAGCAGUUAUCCACAACACCCAACACAACACAAAUGACAAACAGCUUUUAAAGUAUGACUAACACAUGACAACAUAAAUAAAAAAUGAUCUGACAUUUAAUUCUAUCUACAUUCCUUAUAAUUAUUUACUACUGACUGACUGAUUUAUUUCACACAACUUCAUUUACAACCAGCUACCUUGGUGAAUACUUCCACUAGUUUUUCUUGGCUUUCUCCUUCAUCCUUUUCUGGUAUUCAACAAUCUUUCUGUCAAAGAGCCCUGAAAAAAUGGAAAAAACUUUAUUUUCAUUUCUAUUCAAGAUCAUUUUUAUAUUGGUAGCAUCCUCUUCUUAAGCAAAAUACAAGUCAUUAAGAUGACACUAUUAAAGGUACCUCAAAAUGUGAAGAUUUUAUGUGAAGAUUUUAAGUUCACUUAAAUUAAACACAAUAAAAUAAAAUAAAAAUCA